AAACGUGCUACAAUGGCGUGUACAAAGCGAUGCAAUAUCGUGAGAUGGAGCAAAUCGCAAAAAGCACGCCCCAGUUCGGAUUGGAGUCUGCAACUCGACUCCAUGAAGCCGGAAUCGCUAGUAAUCGGAGAUCAGCCACGCUCCGGUGAAUACGUUCCUGAGCCUUGUACACACCGCCCGUCAGGUCAUGGAAGCCGGGAGUGCCCGAAGUC
rnacentral:rRNA from 10 species